rnacentral:rRNA from 1 species
CUGUGAGGCAUGCUGGAGGUAUCAGAAGUGCGAAUGCUGACAUAAGUAACGAUAAAGCGGGUGAAAAGCCCGCUCGCCGGAAGACCAAGGGUUCCUGUCCAACGUUAAUCGGGGCAGGGUGAGUCGACCCCUAAGGCGAGGCCGAAAGGCGUAGUCGAUGGGAAACAGGUUAAUAUUCCUGUACUUGGUGUUACUGCGAAGGGGGGACGGAGAAGGCUAUGUUGGCCGGGCGACGGUUGUCCCGGUUUAAGCGUGUAGGCUGGUUUUCCAGGCAAAUCCGGAAAAUCAAGGCUGAGGCGUGAUGACGAGGCACUACGGUGCUGAAGCAACAAAUGCCCUGCUUCCAGGAAAAGCCUCUAAGCAUCAGGUAACAUCAAAUCGUACCCCAAACCGACACAGGUGGUCAGGUAGAGAAUACCAAGGCGCUUGAGAGAACUCGGGUGAAGGAACUAGGCAAAAUGGUGCCGUAACUUCGGGAGAAGGCACGCUGAUAUGUAGGUGAAGUCCCUCGCGGAUGG